rnacentral:rRNA from 1 species
GAUGAACGCUGGCGGCGUGCCUAAUACAUGCAAGUCGAGCGAACGGACGAGAAGCUUGCUUCUCUGAUGUUAGCGGCGGACGGGUGAGUAACACGUGGAUAACCUACCUAUAAGACUGGGAUAACUUCGGGAAACCGUAGCUAAUACCGGAUAAUAUUUUGAACCGCAUGGUUCAAAAGUGAAAGACGGUCUUGCUGUCACUUAUAGAUGGAUCCGCGCUGCAUUAGCUAGUUGGUAAGGUAACGGCUUACCAAGGCAACGAUGCAUAGCCGACCUGAGAGGGGGAUCGGCCACACUGGAACUGGGACACGGUCCAGACUCCUACGGGAGGCAGCAGUAGGGAAUCUUCCGCAAUGGGCGAAAGCCUGACGGAGCAACGCCGCGUGAGUGAUGAAGGUCUUCGGAUCGUAAAACUCUGUUAUUAGGGAAGAACAUAUGUGUAAGUAGCUGUGCACAUCUUGACGGUACCUAAUCAGAAAGCCACGGCUAACUACGUG